rnacentral:rRNA from 1 species
GACGAACGCUGGCGGCGUGCUUAACACAUGCAAGUCGAGCGGUAAGGCCCUUUCGGGGGUACACGAGCGGCGAACGGGUGAGUAACACGUGGGUUAUCUGCCCCGAUGACCGGGACAACCCGAGGAAACUCGGGCUAAUACCGGAUGUGGUCUUCGGACGAAAGGAAGCUUCGGCCUCCGCAUCGGGAUGGGCCCGCGGCGCAUUAGCUUGUUGGUGGGGUAACGGCCUACCAAGGCUACGAUGCGUAGCUGGUCNGAGAGGACGAUCAGCCACACUGGGACUGAGACACGGCCCAGACUCCUACGGGAGGCAGCAGUGGGGAAUCUUGCGCAAUGGGCGAAAGCCUGACGCAGCGACGCCGCGUGGGGGAUGAAGGUCUUCGGAUUGUAAA